rnacentral:rRNA from 1 species
GAUCGUGCCAGCAGCCGCGGUAAUACGUAGGUGGCAAGCAUUAUCCGGAAUUAUUGGGNGNAAAGGGAGCGUAGACGGCUUUAUAAGUCUAAGGUUAAAUAUACAGGCUCAACCUGUAUCCGCCUUGGAAACUAUAUCGCUAGAAUAUGAUAGAGGACAAUGGAAUUCCAUGUGUAGCGGUGAAAUGCAUAGAUAUAUGGAGGAACACCAAUUGCGAAGGCAGUUGUCUGGGUCAUUAUUGACGUUGAGGCUCGAAAGCAUGGGUAGCAAAUAGGAUUAGAUACCCUAGUAGUCCAUGCCGUAAACGAUGAAUACUAGUUAUUAGAUGUUAAGUCUAGUGGUUGAGCUAACGCAUUAAGUAUUCCACCUGAGUAGUACAUUCGCAAGAAUGAAACUUAAAGGAAUUGACGGGGACCCGCACAAGCGGUGGAGCAUGUGGUUUAAUUCGAAGAAACGCGAAAAACCUUACCUGGAUUUGACAUCCCUUGCAAAGCUAUGGAAACAUAGUGGAGGUUAUCAAGGUGACAGGUGGUGCAUGGUUGUCGACAGUUCGUGUCGUGAAAUGUAUGGUUAAGUCCCAUAACGAGCGCAACCCUCAUCCUUAUUUGCUAACAUUUAGUUGAGAACUAUAAGGAAA